CCAUCUCUUACCUGGAGGAGCAUUUGGGCAGCGAAAGGAACCCUUCUCAAAGGGCUAAGAUGGAGAGUGGGGGCAGGAACCGCAAUAUCCAUUUGGAAUGAUCGAUGGAUACCAGGGAUUGAACCUGAGAUAUGGCAGAACAGAGAAACAAAUGAAGGGUUAAACUUAGUAUCAGACCUAAUUGACAGCACAACCAAGACGUGGAAAGUAGAAACAAUUACAACUACCUUCCAAAGGGAUGUCGCCCAGAGAAUUCUGCAGAUUCCUUUAGCAAGAAUAGACUGUGAAGACAUGCAGGUGUGGAAAGGUGAACAAUCAGGUGAGUUCUCAGUUCGGAGCGCAUACAAACUAUUACAAGAAGCUAG
rnacentral:lncRNA from 1 species